UGAGACAGAAUAGACAGGUUCUGACCAAUGAAAGUGCAGCAGGCAGGUAAUUUAAUGUGCGCACACCUGUUGGCAAGUUUGCAUGUGAGCAGAGAAGGCCCUGAGAUGUGUUUGGACAUGUGGGAAACAAAGAAGAGGCCUACAUGUAGAAACAAAGCUUUAACAAGGAGGCCUUCAUGUAAUGAAGAAACAAUUUUGCUGUUGAACCCGCCGACAGAGCGGUACCCCCGCCACCGUCAGUAUCCGGGCCUGAGAGAACGGCGCCAGACAAACCAAAACUCAUUAAAUCGCCACCAAGAGCAAUCUCAAGGACAAGAGCAUCUGUAAAUGCUGGAACACACGGACAUCUUUCACAGGCAGGGUGGCGUAUUAAAGAGCGAUGAAGUGUGGGUCUGUCGGACGGCAUCUCUGUCGCUGUUAUUACACAGUUGUGACCUAGUGAAUGUGCGGUACAACGGCCUGCAACGCAACUCUGCCGCAAAAACAAACUGGAAGAGUUUCGGCUGAGCGUCUGUUGGCGUCUCUUCGGAUCUGAAGCCGAACAGCUCCGGACAAACAAAGCAAGCAGCCGAGGCGCUGACGUCAUCCGAGGGAUUUAAAGGGGACGUGCGCCAAUUAUCUCCUGAACUACUUUAUUAUAAACUUUUAAUAACACGAAACCUGCGUUAAUGCAAGGUUUACCAGUGAAGACAAUGCAGCUCAUGAGGCAAUGUCUUUUAUACAUUUAAUAUAGAGACACUGAAACUCUCUUUUUUUUUUUUUUUUUAAGAAACCACUUAUAAAACACUUCUUUAAACUUGCCUGUAUAUACCUCCUGUGUGUGUAUAUAUGUACUUCAGUAUUAUGUUCAAAUCUAUAAUCUUUUACACACACA